AUUGAACGCUGGCGGCAGGCCUAACACAUGCAAGUCGAACGGUAGCACAGAGAGCUUGCUCUCGGGUGACGAGUGGCGGACGGGUGAGUAACGUCUGGGAAACUGCCCGAUGGAGGGGGAUAACUACUGGAAACGGUAGCUAAUACCGCAUAACGUCGCAAGACCAAAGUGGGGGACCUUCGGGCCUCACACCAUCGGAUGUGCCCAGAUGGGAUUAGCUAGUAGGUGGGGUAAUGGCUCACCUAGGCGACGAUCCCUAGCUGGUCUGAGAGGAUGACCAGCCACACUGGAACUGCGACACGGUCCAGACUCCGACGGGAGGCAGCAGUGGGGAAUAUUGCACAAUGGGCGCAAGCCUGAUGCAGCCAUGCCGCGUGUAUGAAGAAGGCCUUCGGGUUGUAAAGUACUUUCAGCGGGGAGGAAGGCGGUGAAGUUAAUAGCUUCACCGAUUGACGUUACCCGCAGAAGAGGCACCGGCUAACUCCGUGCCAGCAGCCGCCGUAA
rnacentral:rRNA from 1 species